AAUGUCAGAGGCUGGCAAGGCAUGCCAGCCCUCCUGCCUCCUUCCCUCUCAUACAUUAAACUUCAUAGCUUUUGGGAAGGUGUGGGGACCCAGGGAUGUGGGAAGUCUCUUCCCACCUUCUGUU
rnacentral:ncRNA from 1 species